UACGAAGGGGACUAGCGUUGUUCGGAAUCACUGGGCGUAAAGCGCACGUAGGCGGCUUUGUAAGUCAGGGGUGAAAUCCCGGGGCUCAACCUCGGAACUGCCUUUGAUACUGCGAGUCUUGAGUCCGAUAGAGGUGGGUGGAAUUCCUAGUGUAGAGGUGAAAUUCGUAGAUAUUAAGAAGAACACCAGUGGCGAAGGCGACUUACUGGACACAGAUUGACGCUGAGGUGCGAAAGCGUGGGGAGCAAACAGG
rnacentral:rRNA from 1 species